UGGCAGCAGUAGUAAUUGGCGCUUUUGUGGGGAAGAAGGGUCAGGCGAUCUUCGAGAAGCAUUCUCGAAUUCCGCAGCGUCAGGGAUGGCAGGUUUCGACAUGCUAGCGAUGCUGUGCCGUGUGCUGUGUGGCAUGCUGCGUGUGGAGACCAAGGAGAGCGAGGGAUUUUUGGCAGUGCGAGAUUGUGGGUAUUCUGUUUGCUCUGCCACUGCCAUCGUUUCAACUUCCUGAUCAAGAGCGGUGCACAGAUGGAGUACGCCUGCUGCUCGCCGAGACCACCGACUGUAAUGACUGCAAUAGAGAGAAGAAGCGACCUGGACAAGUCAGGUGACCGAUGAUGUUUGGAAUAGUAUCUAUCAACCGUGCGGAUGGAUUACCUCGACCGCGAUGAAGGAGACUGCCAUGCGUCCAGUGUCACUGUGAAGGGGCAGACAGGGCAGAAUAGACCCGCGGGUUGUGGGUGAUUCAUCCAGGUUUAGUUAGUUCACUAACGACAAGAUUUCACUUUAGCAACUCUUUAGGGACACUGUAGCAUGAGGCUGUGCGCCAUGCCACGCCCCCGAAGCGGAGGGCCAAUUGGCCCCGGCAAAGAACUUUCUUUCUUCUCGCACUUCGGGCCAUGACAGAUGAUGGGGAACACGAAUGGCAUAGUUAAUGGAAACCGCCAUAUGAUUAUCGACUGGUGCAAUCAGUCUUUGCCCGUAUUUCCAGGCGUUCCUUGGGGCCAACACGCGACCGAUCUCCGAGGCAGUGUUGAUUGUGUUGGAUGAAGAAGCAAUUCGACCCUGAGAUCAAGUGUUCAGGCGCAUCUGAGGAUUCAGCGGAAGUUCCCCUUCGUUUCAUUACGAGAACAACCCGAGAGUGCGCCUUUUCCUUCUAGCAACGGAACUAAUCUCCACUAUCCUCACCACCAACUUCCCAGAAGUUGGCCCCUUUGUUCUCUUUAUUGUUUAAAACCCACACGUUUCUCGCAAUCUUGAAACCUCAAUUACGAUAUCUCCGACCCAGUAACAGAUACAUAACUUGGACAUACGUUUAAAAAAAAUUUCCCGUGGUAUAGUUAUCUUGUCCCUAUCCAUUGCGAUCACUCUCCUUCGUUUGAAGCCAUGAAAUUUUCGUACGGCCUUGCGCUUUGCACGCUCCUGUCGUUCUCCUCCACAGUCGCGCCGCGCAAUAUCAUUUCAACGGACGUCGAUGUAUCAGCCCUUGCUGUUCCAAACGCUUUUGACCCAUCCCUCAUCGCUGCCCGGUCCA
rnacentral:sRNA from 2 species